rnacentral:misc_RNA from 1 species
AAAAAAUUAAAAUGGAGCUUCAGGAGAAAAACUCCACCGACUUUACAGAGUUGUUUACAGGAGAUAUUUCUUGGUUUGUAUGUCGGCGUUACCUAUAUAAACCUCCCUUCAACCCCUUUUACCGACUUUUUAUCUAUCACCCUUAUCGAAAUUUUGAAUCUUUUGAUCACAAAAACUAUUAAAGUUUCAAUCUUUGAUCCAUAAAAACCACAAAUCUCUUUGUAUGAUAUGAACCCAUUUGAUAAAAAACAAGAAUCUGAUACUGAUACAAAAACCCCAUUUUUGACUGAAAUGGACUCUGAAUUUGCUGCGUUUUCACCAAUUUCACUCCCUUUUGCUGACCCAUCUUCUCCUUUUAUCAAUUUUGGAUCUUUUGCCACUCCUUUGAGCCAACAUCCAGUUGGAGAAGGGGAAGGAGAAGGAGAAGGGGGAGAAAUUGAACAGCCAGCUGAGGGAGGAUUGGGUGUGCCGCAGCCUAUGGAGUGUUUACAUGGGAUACAAAUUCCGCCAUUUUUGUCAAAGACUUUUGAUUUGGUUGAGGACCCUUUAUUGGAUACGAUUAUUUCUUGGGGUAGAAAUGGAGAAAGCUUUGUAGUUUGGGAUCCAGUGGAGUUUUCAAGAUUGGUUCUUCCUAGGAAUUUCAAGCACAGUAAUUUCUCCAGCUUUGUUCGACAGCUUAAUACAUAUGUGGGUAUUAAUUUUAGCACACUGGCCAACUUUUUCUGGCUAAUGUGUUAAAUCUCUAGUUCUCUAACUCUGUCUCUCUUUUUAAUGAUAUUUUUUCCUUGUAUGUAAUUUCUGUUGUAGUUUUUCAUGUAUCUUUAU